GACAUGUUGGCAAGACUGAGCAGGCUGCUUGGGAGAGAGAAUGGAGAACAUGGAGAGACCAAAGAGAGGAAGAAGGAAGCUGGCCUCAGUGUCAAACCUGGAGAAAUAGAUGGUUCUGUCUAAGGCACAGUGACUCCUGAGCAGAGGACUACUCGGGAAGCACCAUCCCAACUCUCCACCUUCACUGAGCAGGAGCAGGAGCAGGUGCAGGAAAUGAAAAAACUAGAGAAACUCACCAUUCGUCUACAUGAUAUGGAAUGUGAGAGAAAUGAGCUGCGUGGAAUCCUGGCCAAUUACACAAACAAGGAUUUGAACAACAGGCUAAAUUUUGAACUCGAGAUGCUUGAAAUGGAACACAAGCAGGUGAUGUCAGCUCUCCAGAAAUUGCCCAUGGAGAUUAGUGAUGCCUUGCACAAGUGCAAGGGGCUGAUUGAGGAGACUGAAUACUUUAGUUACCUCCAUGGCCGGUUCCUACAAGAGUGCAAUC